GCGGCGGGGUUAAACAUGUUUAUGAGAUCUCAACCCUCCCCUAUACCUCUAGCCAAUGUAGAAAAGUAAAAGAAUAACAAUACGCACAUUAAAAUUCAGUUCAAGAGAAGUCCGAGUCUGAUGUCAAAAGAUGUAACAAAAGAAAAUAAAUAAAAUGACAAUAAUACAUAAAUAACAACAGACUACUAGCAGUUAACUGACAUGCCAGCUCCAGACCUCAAUUAAAC
rnacentral:lncRNA from 1 species